CGUGUCGUGAGAUGUUGGGUUAAGUCCCGUAACGAGCGCAACCCUUGUCCUUAGUUACCAGCACGUCAUGGUGGGCACUCUAAGGAGACUGCCGGUGACAAACCGGAGGAAGGUGGGGAUGACGUCAAGUCAUCAUGGCCCUUACGGCCUGGGCUACACACGUGCUACAAUGGUCGGUACAGAGGGUUGCCAAGCCGCGAGGUGGAGCUAAUCUCACAAAACCGAUCGUAGUCCGGAUCGCAGUCUGCAACUCGACUGCGUGAAGUCGGAAUCGCUAGUAAUCGCGAAUCAGAAUGUCGCGGUGAAUACGUUCCCGGGCCUUGUACACACCGCCCGUCACACCAUGGGAGUGGGUUGCACCAGAAGUAGCUAGUCUAACCUUCGGGAGGACGGUUACCACGGUGUGAUUCAUGACUGGGGU
rnacentral:rRNA from 1 species